rnacentral:lncRNA from 1 species
CACCUGUUUCGCUACCGCCAGCCCGGCGCCCCCCCCGCCUCCAUUCCCGGAAACCUGACAGCCCCACCAAUCUGCAGUCCCAGGUGCCUCCGGCCACCCAGGCGUCUUGGUCAGCCCGGGAUCUCCCGCGCCCCAGGCCACGCCGGAGACCCUGACCUGGGCCACCUCCUUGCAGACGCCCUUCACUCUCUGUGCCCCAGGCUGAGGUCGCGUCGAAAUGAUGUCAAGGAAACCGGUGACCAACAGAGGACGCCAGUGGUCCAGGAUUGAAUUGGGAAUUAUCAAUACACUUUCAAGGUUCUUAAAAAGAGCCUGUGGAUCAGCAGUGGCAACUCGCAAUACCACCACGGGAGCGGACUCUCCUGGACGCUGCGGAAAACGGAUACUCCCCGGCUAGGAGGACAGGCGGCUAGGAGGAGCCUUUUGCAGUUUGCAGUAGAAACAUCAAAUAAGGACCUCCUUGCAUUCCCUCUUGUCCACAAAGGACAGGAGAUAGGAUGGGACAUAUCCCUUUUCAUUAACAGAAUUCAGUUGGCCUGAUUAUGAUUGGUGAUCGCUGGGGUCAGCCUGGUUUUCUUCAGCUCUAGACAGAAACCUCCCAUCUCCUUCCUCCACCCUGGCCAGAGCGCUCCUGUGUGUGUGUGUGUGUGUGUGUGUGUGUGUGUGUGUAUCACCAUAGCUAGCCUCCUUUUAGAAAUUGGAAAGGCCAAUUUACUCAUAGCAAAUAAAUAAAUAAUAAUGGUAAUAAUUGAGGGUCUUUCCUGGUGGCUCGUAUGUUAAAGAAUCUGCCAGUAAUACAGCAGACCCAGGUUUGAUCCCUGGGUCAGGAAGAUCCCCUGGAGAAGGGCUGGCAACCCACUCUUGUUUUCUUAUCUGGAGAAUUCCAUGGACAGAGAAGCUUGGCUGGCUAAAGUCCAUGGGAUCGCACAGAAUGGGACACCUGAGUGACUCACGCGUGUGCGCGCACACACACACACACACACACGCACACAUACACACACACGAUUAUUGAGGCUCUACAAAGGAGAAGAGAUCAAAGGCAAAUAGAGGAGGAUUUUGCUUCCCCCAGCGCACAAAGCCACAGCCCCUCAUUUCUGUCACCCAC